rnacentral:rRNA from 1 species
ACCAAAGAUUUAUCGCCCUGAGAUAAGCCCGCGUAGGAUUAGCUAGGUUGGUGGGGUAAAGGCUCACCAAGGCGACGAUCCUUAGCUGGUCUGAGAGGAUGAUCAGCCACACUGGGACUGAGACACGGCCCAGACUCCUACGGGAGGCAGCAGUGGGGAAUAUUGGACCAAUGGGCGCAAGCCCUGAUCCAGCCAUGCCGCGUGAGUUGAUGAAGGCCUUAGGGUUGUAAAGCUCUUUUGUCCGGGAAGAUAAUGACUGUACCGGAAGAAUAAGCCCCGGCUAACUUCGUG